ensembl:snoRNA SNORD42 Small nucleolar RNA SNORD42
GUGCAUAUGAUGGAAAAAAAAUCGACUCUCCUGAGUCCUAUGAUGCCUUCAAAGGAACCACUGAUGCAC